UACAGUCCAUUGUUCUUACUGAGGCUGGUCUACUGCCAAGUGAUAUUACACAGAAGUUUCAAGUGUGUAGUGAACAUUUUCACAGGUUUUUGAAUAAAAACAAAGCAGGUUGCAAAUCAAAGAUAUGUGGGAUACCUGAUAUAAUUUCCUCUCACAACAAAGACAACAAAAUAUAUGGAGGAUGGUAUGGGGUAAAGGCAGACAGAAAUGUAUCUUUGGAAAAAGUGAAAGAGAUUCAUGCUAGAACAGGAAUCAUAGUUCCAGUUGGAACUCUGUUUGAUGAACAGUGACAACCUUGGUGAUACAUGUAGCUAUCAAUAUGAAGAACAGUAUAAUCUCAGACCUAAUCGACUUAAUAGUGGAUAUAAUUUUGCUGUACAUGCUUCCACAUCAUCAAGUCAGGAAACAACCAGUUAUUUUGAAACUGAAAGUUGCUGCAAUACUGAUAGUCAGGGUACAGAAGCAUCUGUUAUCAG